CGGCUACACAUGCAGUCGAGGGGCAACAGGAGUAGCAAUACUUGCUGGCGACCGGCGCACGGGUGAGUAACGCGUAUGCAACCUACCCAUAACUGGGGGAUAGCUUCCGGAAACGGAAAUUAAUACCCCAUAGGAUUCUAAGGCCGCAUGGUCAAUGGAUUAAAACUACGGUGGUUAUGGAUGGGCAUGCGUGCCAUUAGCUAGUUGGCGGGGUAACGGCCCACCAAGGCGACGAUGGCUAGGGGGUCUAAAAGGAUGAUCCCCCACACUGGUACUGAGACACGGACCAGACUCCUACGGGAGGCAGCAGUGAGGAAUAUUGGUCAAUGGGCGAGAGCCUGAACCAGCCAUCCCGCGUGCAGGAAGACGGCCCUAUGGGUUGUAAACUGCUUUUUUAUGGGAAGAAAAAGCUCUACGUGUAGGGCAUCUGACGGUACCAUAUGAAUAAGCAUCGGCUAACUCCGUGCCAGCAGCCGCGGUAAUACGGAGGAUGCGAGCGUUAUCCGGAUUUAUUAGGUUUAAAGGGUGUGUAGGCGGAUUAUUAAGUCAGUGGUGAAAUCUCAGAGCUUAACUCUGAAACUGCCAUUGAUACUGGUAAUCUUGAGUACAGUUGAAGUAGGCGGAAUGUGUAAUGUAGCGGUGAAAUGCUUAGAUAUUACACAGAACACCGAUUGCGAAGGCAGCUUAGCUAAGCUGUUACUGACGCUGAUGCACGAAAGCGUGGGGAGCGAACAGGAUUAGAUACCCUGGUAGUCCACGCCGUAAACGAUGAUUACUCCGUUGUUGGCGAUAUAAUAGUCAGCGACUGAGCGAAAGCAAUAAGUAAUCCACCUGGGGAGUACGGCGGCAACGCUGAAACUCAAAGGAAUUGACGG
rnacentral:rRNA from 1 species